AAACUCAAAGUCAUCCUUAUCUUAUCCUCCCCACCGGGAGCACCACUUUCGCAGUUCAGCGAGCUCGGCCGGUGAGAGUCGACGGAACUGUCGGGGAAUGGAGUCUGCGGCGGUAGAGCCACCAGCUGGCGGUGGGUCCGGUGUGAUGGCGGCCGCAGCGCGAGCAAACACCCUCCGCGGCGGUGCGCCGGGUUUGUUGGCCUUCCACUCGUACGCCCGAGGCAGUCUCAUGGCGUCCUGGAGAUCAUCAGGCUUCUGCAGUUCAACGUCGAUGCUGAUAUCAUCCUGAAGACCGGCGAUGAAAAGUUGCACUUGCUGACUCUCGGUGAGGGGGUCUGGGAUGCGACUGGUAAGUGCCAGAAAACACUCCUGGUACGCCACCACGGUGCUCGUCUGCGUGAGGCGCUUGAGCUCACCAAAUGGGUUGUGGCGGAUCGGGGGAGAAUGAUCGGCGACCCGUGAUGGACACAGCGACAGAAAGAGAUGAGAAACAGAGGAAGCUGGAGAUGAGGAGAUAGCUUUGAUCUUGCUUGCCUUUAUUCUAAGAUUAAUUGCCUUAAAUAGGUAUACAAAAUGUAACAAACGGAUGCUAAUUGAAAGGAAACUAAUCGUAAC
rnacentral:sRNA from 1 species